CUGGAGCACAGGUGCUGCAUGGCUGUCGUCAGCUCGUGUCGUGAGAUGUUGGGUUAAGUCCCGCAACGAGCGCAACCCUCGCCCUUAGUUGCCAGCAUUCAGUUGGGCACUCUAAGGGGACUGCCGGUGAUAAGCCGAGAGGAAGGUGGGGAUGACGUCAAGUCCUCAUGGCCCUUACGGGCUGGGCUACACACGUGCUACAAUGGUGGUGACAGUGGGCAGCGAAGGAGCGACCCCGAGCUAAUCUCCAAAAGCCAUCUCAGUUCGGAUUGCACUCUGCAACUCGAGUGCAUGAAGUUG
rnacentral:rRNA from 1 species